rnacentral:rRNA from 1 species
GAUGAACGCUGGCGGCGUGCUUAACACAUGCAAGUCGAACGAAGCAAUUAAAGUGAAGUUUUCGGACUGAACUUUAAUUGACUUAGUGGCGGACGGGUGAGUAACGCGUGGGUAACCUACCUUAUACAGGGGGAUAACAGUUGGAAACGACUGCUAAUACCGCAUAAGCCUACAGCAUCGCAUGAUGGAGUAGGAAAAGAUUUAUCGGUAUAAGAUGGACCCGCGUCUGAUUAGCUAGUUGGUGAGGUAAUGGCUCACCAAGGCGACGAUCAGUAGCCGACUUGAGAGAGUGAUCGGCCACAUUGGGACUGAGACACGGCCCAAACUCCUACGGGAGGCAG